CUUAAAGUUUCAUAUAAUAUACCGUUCAGAGGGGACCGGCUGUCUUUCCUCGUUGUCGUGAGUCGGACACCCGUGCCGUCGCUAGAAGUUUUUCAAACUCUGCUUCUGGAUAUCGGGACGAAAGACCGCGCGAGGACGACGGAUGCGAGUCCCAUCGAAUUUUUGACUUACACACUACCUGAACGAGACUUAAAGUUUCAUAUUAUAUACCGUUCAGAGGGGACCGGCUGUCUUUCCUCGUUGUCGUGAGUCGGACACCCGUGCCGUCGCUAGAAGUUUUUCAAACUCU